rnacentral:rRNA from 1 species
UACGAAGGGUGCAAGCGUUAAUCGGAAUUACUGGGCGUAAAGCGCGCGUAGGUGGUUCGUUAAGUUAGGAGUGAAAGCCCCGGGCUCAACCUGGGAAUUGCUUCUAAAACUGGCGGGCUAGAGUAUGGUAGAGGGUGGUGGAAUUUCCUGUGUAGCGGUGAAAUGCGUAGAUAUAGGAAGGAACAUCAGUGGCGAAGGCGACCACCUGGACUGAUACUGACACUGAGGUGCGAAAGCGUGGGGAGCAAACAGGAUUAGAUACCCCUGUAGUCCCUGA